UGCAAGUCGACGGACCCUUCGGGGUUAGUGGCGGACGGGUGAGUAACACGUGGGAACGUGCCUUUAGGUUCGGAAUAGCUCCUGGAAACGGGUGGUAAUGCCGAAUGUGCCCUUCGGGGGAAAGAUUUAUCGCCUUUAGAGCGGCCCGCGUCUGAUUAGCUUGUUGGUGAGGUAAUGGCUCACCAAGGCGACGAUCAGUAGCUGGUCUGAGAGGAUGACCAGCCACAUUGGGACUGAGACACGGCCCAAACUCCUACGGGAGGCAGCAGUGGGGAAUCUUGCGCAAUGGGCGAAAGCCUGACGCAGCCAUGCCGCGUGGAUGAUGAAGGUCUUAGGACUGUAAAAUCCUUUCACCGGUGAAGAUAAUGACUGUAGCCGGAGAAGAAGCCCCGGCUAACUUCGUGCCAGCAGCCGCGGUAAUACGAAGGGGGCUAGCGUUGCUCGGAAUUACUGGGCGUAAAGGGAGCGUAGGCGGACAUUUAAGUCAGGGGUGAAAUCCCAGAGCUCAACUCUGGAACUGCCUUUGAUACUGGAUGUCUUGAGUGUGAGAGAGGUAUGUGGAACUCCGAGUGUAGAGGUGAAAUUCGUAGAUAUUCGGAAGAACACCAGUGGCGAAGGCGACAUACUGGCUCAUUACUGACGCUGAGGCUCGAAAGCGUGGGGAGCAAACAGGAUUAGAUACCCCUGGUAGUCCACGCCG
rnacentral:rRNA from 1 species